AAUCCUUUUGCAUCACCCGCUCACAGAAAUAAACAUUCUUUGAGGUUUUUCCUGAUGCAGUAACUGACCAUGCCACCACGGCUUUAUUUUGGCCAGAGACGCCUGUGGCAUUUCUGCAAGAGGACAAGCAUCUCGUUCAGACCCCAUUAAAAGAGAGCUCAGUUCUUACAGCAGUUUGACAAGUCUGAUAAAGAGAAAGAAAACCAAAUUACUAGGACUUGAAAUAUAAAGUAGAUGAACCAAUCUAGAGAUGCUGCAUGAAAGAAGGUGGAUUUUUUUCUGGACAAGGAAUGACUUGAGAGCAGCCCUGAGGAGAAGGAUUUGGGGGUGCUGGUUAAUGAAAGACUGAACAUGAGCUGGCUAUAUGCACUUGCAGCCCAGAAGGCCAACUGUGUGCUGGGUUACAUUAUGAAAAGAAUGAAAGAAAAGCAAGGAAGAUGAUUCUGCCCCUCUACUCUGCUCUUGUGAGACCCACCUGGAGUACUGCAUCCAAUUCUGGGGCCCUCAACACAAGACAGACAUGGAGCUGUUGGAGUGGGUCCAGAGGAGGGCCACAAAGAUGAUCAGAGGGCUGGGACACUUCCCCUACGAAGAGAGGCUGAGAAAGUUGGGACUCUUCAGCCUGCAGAAGAGAAGCUGUACCAUCUGCAGCAUAUCACCUAAGGGCAUUCUUACAGUUCAACUUGAGGAUAAAGGUCUUGUCCUCAUGCAGAUUCAGAGCUGAUGAAUUUGUCGUCGUGCAAUUUUGGGGGCCAGUUCACCCCUGACACUUAAGUGCUGCAGCCAAGGGUAACAUUAAGUUCCUGGGAACUCUACAUAGAGCAGCUUUGGACAUUUGUCCUGAGGCAAAGGGCUAAGGGAGGAAUAAGGAAUACAACCAUUUUCAAGAGCAAUAGCCACAUCUUUCAUCUGGAGCUGAAUCUUACUGCUGAUUUUUACACGUUAUUUCUCAUUCCUGUGUUUGGAAGAGCAUCUCUCAGACCCCAAAGGGGAACUGGCUGCCUGCUACAGUUGGGCUAUGGAAAUACACUAUGAGAUGUUACCCAGUACAUAGGGCAAAGCAAGACAGACAGUUUUCUCUACUGGCAAGAAGCCUUAUGUGCUACUCAUAACAAUAGGAAUCAAAAAAAAAUAUAUAUUUUUUUCCAAGCUGACAGAUCUGCUUUCAAGUGUAGUGCCUAGUACAGUCUCACCACGAGUGCUUGUGAGGCCUUUUCCCAUACAGCAGAACAGACCAGACAGUCUGGCAGUCUCACAAAGGUGCAACAAGCAGCAACCCUGUUUCUCUCUGUCUAUACGCACACGCUCUACAAUCUUUCACAGAAACGUGCCAAAGCAAAUACCAAAUCAUCUGUAAUAUUUCAGAGAGAUAGCCAAAGCUCACAGAUACUUUCCAUACUACCCCCAGAACAAUCCACUGUUUUCAUUAGCACAAAGGUGGAAAUACGCAUAGUAGAGAGAAAAGAGAUUAGUUUCAGAAAGGAACAUGAACAGAAGCAGGUUUUGGUUUGCUCAGGAUUCACUCUGAUCCCAGCAGAAUCAGCGCCAAAGCUGAGCACUAGGGUGCCGGACUGGGUCCACCUCACACAAGACAUCACAUUUCGUUUCCAGAUGAGGUUAAGUGCCAGUUGCAACUCUUCAAAAUCCCGUCCUCUCUAGCACAGACAGAUUUGCUUGGAAGUGGCUGAUAUAUUCUCAUCCUCCUGGCUCAGAUGCAAUCUCUGGUUAUAAAAUAGCAACAAGGUUGAAAGAGUCAGAGGCAGAAUGUCAGCCAGGCUAGCCAGUCUAAAUGAGUUGAUGUACCUGAAGAACUGCAAGGUCCCAUUCAGAAUGGCUCAGGAGAGACCAAUCAUCUCAUAGGUUUACAAUGAAUCUCCUGUGCAUAGGAACAUUGUGAGAUGAGACCAGUUAACAAAUGGCCAGAUUGCAACUCAGAAAUGUCAAUAUGGCAUUAGCGGAGUGCUUCGGAGUUCAGUUCAGUUUCCUUGUUAUUUCCACAUGGUUUGUGAAAACCAACAACAAAUACUAAAGCCUGAAAAGCACAUCUUUGAAGCCCAGCAACAGCUGAAGUACUCCCUGCUUUUUUUUCCUACUACUGCACUAUACCUCAGUUGUGCCAAGAUAAACUUCCAUGAAACUAUGA
rnacentral:lncRNA from 1 species